rnacentral:rRNA from 1 species
GACGAACGCUGGCGGCGUGCUUAACACAUGCAAGUCGAACGGCAAGGCCCUGCUUUUGUGGGGUGCUCGAGUGGCGAACGGGUGAGUAACACGUGAGUAACCUGCCCUUGACUUUGGGAUAACUUAAGGAAACUGGGGCUAAUACCGGAUAGGAGCUCCUGCUGCAUGGUGGGGGUUGGAAAGUUUCGGCGGUUGGGGAUGGACUCGCGGCUUAUCAGCUUGUUGGUGGGGUAGUGGCCUACCAAGGCGUGGACGGGUAGCCGGCGUGAGAGGGUGACCGGCCACACGGGAACUGAGACACGGUCCAUACUCCUACGAGAGGCAGCAGUGGGCAAUAUUGGGCAGUGGGCGCAAGCCUGAUCCAGUCAUCCCGAGUGGGUGGCGAAGGCGUUCGGGUUGUAAAGACCUUUUGUGGGGUAAGAACAGCAGCAGGUUGAUACCCCGCUGUUCUGACGGUACCCAAAGAAUAAGCACCGGCUAACUACGUG